rnacentral:rRNA from 1 species
GAUGAACGCUAGCUACAGGCUUAACACAUGCAAGUCGUGGGGCAGCAUGGUCUUAGCUUGCUAAGGCCGAUGGCGACCGGCGCACGGGUGAGUAACGCGUAUCCAACCUUCCCCCUGGUAGGGCAUAGCCCGUAGAAAUGCGGAUUAACACCCUAUGUUGUGCAUUGAGGACAUCUGAGGAGCACUAAAGUUUGACGCCAUGGGAUGGGGAUGCGUCCGAUUAGCUUGACGGCGGGGUGACGGCCCACCGUGGCUACGAUCGGUAGGGGUUCUGAGAGGAAGGUCCCCCACACUGGAACUGAGACACGGUCCAGACUCC